UUAGCUUAUUCUAGCAAUAAUUUAACCUAGGGUUUAUAUUUGGAAAAAUACCCAUAGGUGAAAAGUGUUUAUUUUGAUGUUUUAUGAUAGAAUAUGAAGCUAUAAAUUAUGUUAAACAACUUUUGCUAAGCGAUUUUAAGUGAAAACGAGUAAAACGACAUAAUCGGUAAAAAUACCUAAUGUUCAUAAGUACAUGUUAGAGUGGGAAUUUGAUGUUGCCAUAGAAGGGAAAAAUGUUCAGAAUGUUAUAAAACAUAAUAAUAAGAGAUGAAGUUUAAUUUCCGAGCCUUGGGGCAAAAAUGUAAUUAUGUAAAAGUUUAGGGGCAAAAUUGUAAUUUUGAAAAAGUUAGAGUCGAGGGCUGUUUUGAUGAAUGUGAUUAUUAAAUAAGUUAAAUUUACUAUUUUAGAUCAAGAAGUACGAAACUCGAGGUUAGACAAAGGGAAGAAUAAAGUUGAAGACUAAGUUGGUGAAUUUGGCUAUAAUUGGUACCGAGUAUUACAAGGCUACUUCAAGGAUCCUAAAGAAGUCGGAGAUCGUCCACACUAUCAACCACAACUGCUCGGUAUUUUAUGUCGAAACACGUUUGAGUUAUGGCAUGUAUAGGGAUUUAGUUAUUUUGUAUGUUUGUAGUUAUGAUUUUGCUAAAGAAUGGUGUGUAAGUAUUUGAUGAUGUGUGGUCAUUAAAAUGGUUAAGCAUGAA